CGGAAGUCUGACCGAGCAACGCCGCGUGAGUGAAGAAGGUUUUCGGAUCGUAAAGCUCUGUUGUAAGAGAAGAACGAGUGUGAGAGUGGAAAGUUCACACUGUGACGGUAUCUUACCAGAAAGGGACGGCUAACUACGUGCCAGCAGCCGCGGUAAUACGUAGGUCCCGAGCGUUGUCCGGAUUUAUUGGGCGUAAAGCGAGCGCAGGCGGUUAGAUAAGUCUGAAGUUAAAGGCUGUGGCUUAACCAUAGUACGCUUUGGAAACUGUUUAACUUGAGUGCAAGAGGGGAGAGUGGAAUUCCAUGUGUAGCGGUGAAAUGCGUAGAUAUAUGGAGGAACACCGGUGGCGAAAAGCGGCUCUCUGGCUUGUAAACUGACGCUGAGGGCUCCAAAGCGUGGGGAGCAAACAGGAUUAAGAUACCCUGGGUAAGUCCCACCGCCGUUAAACGAAUUGAGUGCUAGGGUGGUUAAAAACCCUUUUCCCGGGGGGCU
rnacentral:rRNA from 1 species